AGCGAACGCUGGCGGCAGGCCUAACACAUGCAAGUCGAACGAAGUCUUCGGACUUAGUGGCGGACGGGUGAGUAACACGUGGGAACGUGCCUUUAGGUUCGGAAUAACUCAGGGAAACUUGUGCUAAUACCGAAUGUGCCCUUCGGGGGAAAGAUUUACCGCCUUUAGAGCGGCCCGCGUCUGAUUAGCUAGUUGGUGAGGUAAAGGCUCACCAAGGCGACGAUCAGUAGCUGGUCUGAGAGGAUGAUCAGCCACAUUGGGACUGAGACACGGCCCAGACUCCUACGGGAGGCAGCAGUGGGGAAUCUUGCGCAAUGGGCGAAAGCCUGACGCAGCCGUGCCGCGUGAAUGAUGAAGGUCUUAGGAUUGUAAAAUUCUUUUACCAGGGACGAUAAUGACGGUACCUGGAGAAGAAGCUCCGGCUAACUUCGUGCCAGCCGCCGCCGUAAGAC
rnacentral:rRNA from 1 species